rnacentral:rRNA from 1 species
AUACGUAGGUGACAAGCGUUAUCCGGAUUUACUGGGCGUAAAGGGCGUGUAGGCGGUCUUGCAAGUCAGAAGUGAAAUUCCUGAGCUCAACUCGGGCGCUACUUCUGAAACUGCAGGACUUGAGUGCUGGAGGGGAUAGCGGAAUUCCUAGUGGAGCGGUAAAAUGCGCAGAUAUUAGGAAGAACACCGGUGGCGAAGGCGGCUAUCUGGACAUUAACUGACGCUGAGGCGCGAAAGGGUGGGGAGCAAAAAGGAUUAGAUUCCCCGGUAGUCCACGCCGUAAACGAUGAAUACUAGGUGGAGGGGGUAUCGACUCCCUCUGUGCCGCAGUUAACACAAUAAGUAUUCCGCCUGGGGAGUACGGCCGCAAGGUUGAAACUCAAAUGAAUUGACGGGG